UUGCUUUUGCCUCGCAGAUAAGGAGCGCUGCUCGGAGCUGAAGAAGUCCCUGUGCACCGCGCACGAGAAGUUCUGCUUCUGGCCAGACAGCCCCUGCCCAGACCGCUUCGCCCUGCUGCUGGUGGACGAGCCCCGCGCCCUUCUCCAGGACUUCCUGGAGCGCUUCCAGAGCCUGUGCCAGCUGGAGCUGCAGCUGCCCUCCCUCCGAGCCGAGGACAUGAAAACCACGGUGACGGGGGAGAAGA